GGAUCCGUUAGUGGCGACACUUUGGCGGCAGAGAAUUAAAAUUGCAUAAAAAGGACUAACACAAAAUAAAACUAACAUACUGUUUUUAAACGCAACUUAAUGUUUUUUCUAUCGUAAAAAUGGUAUGUAGGAAUUUCGGACGCGGGUUCAACUCCCGCCAGCUCCACCA
rnacentral:tRNA from 1 species